rnacentral:lncRNA from 1 species
CCCUCCAAAUCGAUGUCCAGACACCUCCGGACCAGGAAAAAUCCCGAAACAGCCGGUCCCAAAGAGUCUCCGACGCCUCCCAGCCGAUUCCCCCCAGGAGCUAGUAACCGGGAAGUUCACUCCGCCGCCAUCUUGCCUCCCCCUCCUGAAAAGUCCCAAUUUAUAUCUUAUAGACCAGUCCUUUCCGUUACCUUCCCACCAAAUCGAUGUCCAGACACUUCCUGCCCUGAAAAAAUCCUGAAAAAGCCUGGUCCCGGAGAACCUCCAGCGGUGCCCAGCUGCCUCUUCCCAGGAGAGACGGCAAGGCAAGCUCACUCAGCCACCAUCUUGCCGGAAGUCCCCCCUUUUCAUCAGAUUAAAGCUGCCAUCUGAAGUUUGUCACUUAUCUAGCCUUGUCAUCUGAGCUCCAUUUUUGAUGAGACAAAUG